UUGAACGGUCCUUUUUGUGCUUUGUCUUUGUCUAUCAAUGGAGCCAAUAUAUCCCAGUAUCCCACUGCCAAUUUGCAUAGCUACUUUCUCUUUCAAUGGAAAAGGUAGGGGUCUACAGAUGAUUUAAGAGGUUUGUGGGGGUCACUGUCUUUUGUUUGAAUCCAUUGAAUUUGCUUAUCUGGAAUCUGAAAGUUAUUAAUGGCAGGGAUGGCAGCAACUUCAAGAAAGAAAGAAAAAAGACCAAUUCUGAUUGCCAAUUUGCAGCACUGAUGAAAUAAAAAGAUGCCAGGUAUUUUGAGUGUAAGCAACUAGUGAUGUGAUAAGGAUGCCAUUGGAGAAAUCAGUGCACAUUAGUUUGCUUUUCCAGAGGGGAUGGACUUGCUAAUGCCAAUCUGUGUAGGCAGUACAAGGUACAAACGAUAAUCACAUACUUAAUAAACCCACAUGGUACAUCUCCUGCAUCUAGUAACAGGGAAAGAGCUUCAGCUGUUGUUGAAUUUGUGCGGAUGAGCUGCUUCUCUUCACUAGUUUUCUCUGUGGGAAUUGACUCCACUCACUUUUUCAAAAACCUGGAGAAGUAAUAAACGACCUGGGAUUGCUUUGAAUCAUCUUUCAGGUUUACAACUGAAAUGAAUUCAUCCAGUCAUGCAGAAUCUUGUGUAUGCUUAUCCAUUGAAUUCUCAGAUGCUUCAAUGA
rnacentral:lncRNA from 1 species